UACGGAGGGGGCGAGCGUUAUUCGGAAUUAUUGGGCGUAAAGGGCGCGUAGGCGGCUGGACAAGUCAAAGGUGAAAUCCCUCGGCUCAACUGAGGAACUGCCUUUGAAACUGUCUGGCUUGAGGCCGGGAGGGGGUAGCGGAAUUCCCAGUGUAGCGGUGAAAUGCGUAGAUACUGGGAGGAACACCAGUGGCGAAGGCGGCUACCUGGACCGGUUCUGACGCUGGGGCGCGAAAGCGUGGGUAGCAAACAGG
rnacentral:rRNA from 1 species